rnacentral:rRNA from 1 species
AUACGGAGGAUCCGAGCGUUAUCCGGAUUUAUUGGGUUUAAAGGGUGCGCAGGCGGCCAUUUACGUCAGCGGUUAAAUCGUGGGGCUCAACCCCAUUCUGCCGUUGAUACUGGGUGGCUUGAUUGCGGUCGAGGUUGGCGGAAUUCGUUGUGUAGCGGUGAAAUGCAUAGAUAUGACGAAGAACACCGAUUGCGUAGGCAGCUGACCAGACCGCAAAUGACGCUCAUGCACGAAAGUGCGGGGAUCGAACAGGAUUAGAUACCCUGGUAGUCCGCACAGUAAACGAUGAAUACUUGUUUUCGGCGAUAUAAUGUCGGAGGCAAAGCGAAAGCGAUAAGUAUUCCACCUGGGGAGUACGCCGGCAACGGUGAAACUUAAAGGAAUUGACGGGG